rnacentral:rRNA from 1 species
AUUGAACGCUGGCGGCAGGCCUAACACCUGCAAGUCGCACGAGUGGCGGACGGGUGAGUAAUGUCUGGGACACUGCCUGAUGGAGGGGGAUAACUACUGGAAACGGUAGCUAAUACCGCAUACAAUCGGAUAGGACCCGAUGUGAUUAGCUAGUAGGUGGGGUAACGGCUCACCUAGGCGACUAUCCCUAGCUGGACUGAGAGGAGUACCAGCCACACUGGAACUGAGACACGGUCCAGACUCCUACUGGAGGCAGCAGUGGGGAAUAUUGCACCAUGGGCGCAAGCCUGAUGCAGCCAUGCCGCGUGUAUGAAGAAGGCCUUCGGGUUGUAAAGUACUUUCAGCGGGGAGGCGUUACCCGCAGAAGAAGCACCGGCUAACUCCGUGCCAGCAGCCGCGGUAAUAC